AAGACAGCAUGUGUAAGGAAAUGAGAAAGCUCUCAUGGAGAAAUGUGUGUGAUUUACUAAAGCUGGAGAGAGAGAGAGGAACAGAGAAAAUUAGAUGAUAGAAAAAUAAAAUAUGUCGGGAGUCAUUGCAUCUGAGGUUCCACCAAGAACA